rnacentral:ncRNA from 2 species
GCGCUGCAUUAAGAGUUGGGAAUUCCAUGCCAACCUGCUUUUCAGACGGAAAGGUAAGGUGGACGGCUGUAAAGCCGAUGUGGUCCGAGAGGGCAAUUCAAAUCCUCCCG